UGCAGAUGAUGUGAAACGUUUGCUAUCUGAGCUACAGUGCUGACAUGUCACCACCAAGAUCACUGAUGCA
rfam:Cuculus canorus isolate BGI_N303 unplaced genomic scaffold scaffold28, whole genome shotgun sequence.